AUGAUGCUUUUGCCACAGAUGCCUCCUCCGGUCACUAGACCUCUGCUUCUGAAUAGGGAUCUGCUGCUGGAGGAGUAGCUGCCACCAAAGCAUGGGGAUACCUCCAGCCUGGUGAGUUUGCACUUUGCAUCCUUGACAACCACUUCCCUGUGCUCCUCAGCUUCAGCCAUGGCUCCUUCCAGUUUGCAUCUCUGCAGGACUCAGCCUCUGCCCGGCUCCGGUUAGCGAUGUCUUCGUACUGCGCUCUGACCUCUGCAAUGAUGCUGUUCAGGUCCAGGUUGCGGUUGUUGUCCAUGGAUAGGACCACAGAGGUGUCGGAGAUCUGUGACUGCAUCUGAGACAGCUCCUAUUGUGAAGGCUCCUGCUGCCAAAACCACCGCUGAUUCGUCCCAUGCCUCCACCACUGCUACGGGACACGGACAUGGAGCUGAAGCUGCUUCGGUUAACAGGCAUAGCGGCAG